AAGAGCUGUUGGCAAUGCUUUCUGAGGGCCAUUAUGGGUAUGGUUCAGGGAGGAAGAGGUGUUGGCAAUGCUUUCUGAGGGCUAUUAUGGGAAUGGUUCAGGGAGGAAGAGCUGUUGGCAAUGCUAUCUGAGGGCUAUUAUGGGUAUGGUUCAGGGAGGAAGAGGUGUUGGCAAUGCUAUCUGAGGGCUAUUAUGGGUAUGGUUCAGGGAGGAAGAGCUGUUGGCAAUGCUUUCUGAGGGCUAUUAUGGGUGUGGUUCAGGGAGGAAGAGGUGUUGGCAAUGCUUUCUGAGGGCUAUUAUGGGUGUGGUUCAGGGAGGAAGAGGUGUUGGCAAUGCUUUCUGAGGGCUAUUAUGGGUAUGGUUCAGGGAGGAAGAGGUGUUGGCAAUGCUAUCUGAGGGCCAUUAUGGGUGUGGUUCAGGGAGGAAGAGGUGUUGGCAAUGCUUUCUGAGGGCCAUUAUGGGUAUGGUUCAGGGAGGAAGAGGUGUUGGCAAUGCUUUCUGAGGGCCAUUAUGGGUAUGGUUCAGGGAGGAAGAGGUGUUGGCAAUGCUUUCUGAGGGCCAUUAUGGGUAUGGUUCAGGGAGGAAGAGGUGUUGGCAAUGCUUUCUGAGGGCUAUUAUGGGAAUGGUUCAGGGAGGAAGAGGUGUUGGCAAUGCUAUCUGAGGGCUAUUGUGGGUAUGGUUCAGGGAGGAAGAGGUGUUGGCAAUGCUAUCUGAGGGCUAUUGUGGGUAUGGUUCAGGGAGGAAGAGGUGUUGGCAAUCUUUCUGAGGGCUAUUAUGGGUGUAGUUAAGAAAGGAAAAGCUGUUGGCAAUGCUUUCAGAGGUGGUCCAAACCAUCAUUCCUUUAAAAACAAACUCCACUGCCACUUCCUACACCUUAAUAUUCUCUAAGGUUGAAAUGCAUAGUCUUGGUGGCCUUGCUGGUGGAUGUAAAGUCACUUAAGUUUAAGGAUAGAUCACCAAUAGUCUUCCAAAUAUGUCGAGUCUGGCC